rfam:Corynebacterium timonense strain DSM 45434 genome assembly, chromosome: I
AGCUUUUUUCGCGGCGGAGUGCGAGCGCCCACACACGUAGUCGUCCGGUUCAUCGACGACAACCGGGAGGAGUUCGGGGUCGAACCGAUUAUUCGCGCCCUUUCAGCAACCAACGCGACAAUCGCCCUG